rnacentral:rRNA from 1 species
CCUACGGGUGACAGCAGUCGAGAAUCAUUCACAAUGGGGGAAACCCUGAUGGUGCGACGCCGCGUGGGGGAAUGAAGGUCUUCGGAUUGUAAACCCCUGUCAUGUGGGAGCAAAUUAAAAAGAUAGUACCACAAGAGGAAGAGACGGCUAACUCUGUGCCAGCAGCCGCGGUAAUACAGAGGUCUCAAGCGUUGUUCGGAAUCACUGGGCGUAAAGUGUGCGUAGGCUGUUUCGUAAGUCGUGUGUGAAAGGCGCGGGCUCAACCCGCGGACGGCACAUGAUACUGCGAGACUAGAGUAAUGGAGGGGAAACCGGAAUUCUCGGUGUAGCAGUGAAAUGCGUAGAUAUCGAGAGGAACACUCGUGGCGAAGGCGGGUUCCUGGACAUUAACUGACGCUGAGGCACGAAGGCCAGGGGAGCGAAAGGGAUUAGAUACCCGAGUAGUC